rnacentral:tRNA from 1 species
GCCCCUACGGCUUAGUGGUUGUAGAGCAUCUGUCUUGUAAACUGAUGGUCUGUACUGUUUGAUCUUGUAUGGGGGCG